UGGGUUAGGGUUAGGGUUAGGUUAUAUAGAUAAAUGCGAAGAGUGCCUCCCCCCGAAGUGCCUCCCCCCCCUUAUCUCGGGUACCAUAAGUCCUAGAGUGCUGAAACUUGGUGGGUAUACUAAUUAGGGAGUGGGCUUUCGAAUGCACCCAGUGCCGUCUCUCUA